CGAAGGGGCUAGCGUUGUUCGGAAUUACUGGGGCGUAAAGCGCGCGCAGGCGGCUAUCCAAGUCAGUGGUGAAAGCCCGGAGCUCAACUCCGGAACUGCCAUUGAAACUGUUUAGCUUGAGGACGAGAGAGGUGAGUGGAAUUCCCAGUGUAGAGGUGAAAUUCGUAGAUAUUGGGAAGAACACCGGUGGCGAAGGCGGCUCACUGGCUCGUAUCUGACGCUCAGGCGCGAUAGCGUGGGAUCAAACAGGAUU
rnacentral:rRNA from 1 species